CCUACGGGAGGCAGCAGUGGGGAAUUUUGGACAAUGGGGGAAACCCUGAUCCAGCCAUUCCGCGUGAGUGAAGAAGGCCUUCGGGUUGUAAAGCUCUUUCAGGAGGGAAGAAACGGUUGCAGCUAAUACCUGCGACUAAUGACGGUACCUUCAGAAGGAGCACCGGCUAACUACGUGCCAGCAGCCGCGGUAAUACGUAGGGUGCGAGCGUUAAUCGGAAUUACUGGGCGUAAAGCGUGCGCAGGCGGUUUUGUAAGUCAGAUGUGAAAGCCCCGGGCUCAACCUGGGAACUGCGUUUGAAACUACAAGGCUAGAGUGUAGCAGAGGGGGGUAGAAUUCCACGUGUAGCAGUGAAAUGCGUAGAGAUGUGGAGGAAUACCGAUGGCGAAGGCAGCCCCCUGGGUUAACACUGACGCUCAUGUACGAAAGCGUGGGGAGCAAACAGGAUUAGAUACCCUGGUAGUCCACGCCCUAAACGAUGUCAACUAGUUGUCGGGAGAGGAGACUUUCUUGGUAACGCAGCUAACGCGUGAAGG
rnacentral:rRNA from 1 species